AGGGAUAUAGUUCAACGGUAGAGCAACGGUCUCCAACACCGUUAAUGUGGGUUCGAAUCCUACUAUCCCUGCCA
rnacentral:tRNA from 1 species